AUGAGCUCAAGCUUAAAAUCUCCGUGCAAAUUUUGCAUGGCGAAUUGUAGUCUAUAGAGGCGUGAUUAGCAUAGGCACUUGGGGCAAGUUCCUUGGAAGAGGACAGCAUCGAGGGUGAUACUCCCGUUUAUCUCCGAGUUGCUUAUGCGUACAAUCCGUUUUCUUUGAGUCGCGUUGUUUGAGAAUGCAGCGCAAAGUAGGUGGUAAAUUCCAUCUAAAGCUAAAUAUUGGUGCGAGACCGAUAGCAAACAAGUACCGUGAGGGAAAGAUGAAAAGAACUUUGAAAAGAGAGUUAAAGAGUACCUGAAACUGCUGAAAGGGAACCAAAUCGUUUCCAGUGUCUAUAAUCCGUGGUAUAUUUCAUUGGCGAAUGUGUGCGUGCGUGUACUAUGGCAGCGGCUUUUUGCUGCGCCUUGUGUAUGUGUGCACUUUCUCGCUGAUGCCCUGUACCGUGGUGAGACGUCAAUGUCGGUUCGUAAAUUGCGGGAAAUGACUGCCGAGGAGGUAGGGCGAACGCUUGCGUUUGUCUGUUAUAUCUUGGCGGACGUAGUAGUCGCGGUUGGGACUGAGGUGCCUACAAUGUGCUUAUGAGUAGAAUUGAUUCUCUGUGUGCGCCGUGUGCGGAUAGCUUGCUAUGCGUGUGUGGCUGCGUGUGGAU
rnacentral:rRNA from 1 species